rnacentral:rRNA from 1 species
UACAGAGAGUGCAAACGUUGUUCGGAAUUACUGGGCUUGAAGCGCACGUAGGCGGCGUUGUAAGUGUCGGGUGAAAUCCCACGGCUCACCCGUGGAACUGCCCGGCAUACUGCGAUGCUAGAGUGUGGUAGGGGAGAGCGGAACUCCUGGUGGAGCGGUGAAAUGCGUAGAUAUCAGGAGGAACACCGGUGGCGAAGGCGGGUCUCUGGGCCGAUACUGACGCUGAGGAGCGAAAGCGUGGGGAGCGAACAGG